GUCAUGUGCAUGUUGCUGCGGAAGUCACACACAACAUGAUGAUGGACUGACUAGUUAGUAGAUCAUACAUGUUGUUAUAUGCGACAAAGCCAAUGGCGUCAUAGCACGCCCUAAUACUUAUUAACUGGGUGACUACCGGCAGUCAUUCAGGAGAAUAAUAGCGUCUCUUAUUGUCUUCUUCGCUUUAUGGCACGGGUCUUAAAUGGCACUUUGAAUGGCAAAGGAUACCGAUCACCUAACCAUGCUUAUCAAAUAUUUCCGGAUGGUUCAACCGCCACCCGCACGAAUCUAAUUAGAAUCAAUUUUUUCGUCAUGUCAACCGCCCGACCCGCGGUUUAUCCGCGGACUCCGCGGAUGAGACCGCAAACCGCGCAUCUCUAAUAGGUACACUUAAACUGUGAGAGACAGAAUGUGAAAUCAAGGAAUUCACAUUGUAUGAAUUUUAAAUAAUUUAUUUGUAAAUUAUGGUGGAAAAUAAUUAUUUGGUCAAUUACAAAAAUUCAACUCAAUACUUUGUAAUAUAACCUUUGUUGGCAAUAACAGAGGUCAAACGAUUACUAUAGGUCUUUACCAGGUUUGCACACACAGUAGAUGGUAUUUUGGCCUAUUCCUCUAUGCAGGUCUUCUCGAGAGCAGUGAUGUUUUGAGGCAGUCGCCGAGCAACACGGACUUUCAACUCCCUCCACAGAUUUUCUAUGGGGUUGAGGUCUGGAGACUGGCUAGGCCACUCCAGGACUUUUAAAUGCUUCUUACGGUGCCCGGGCUGUGUGUUUGGGAUCAUUGUCAUGCUGGAAGCCCAAGCCACGUUUCAUCUUCAAAGCUCUUACUGAUGGAAGGAGGUUUUUGCUCAAAAUCUCAUGAUACAUGGCCCCAUUCAUUCUUUCCUUAACACGGAUCAGUCGUCUUGUGCCCUUAGCAGAAAAACAGCCCCAAAGUAUGAUGUUUCCACCCCCAUGCUUCACAGAAGUAUUCUUCUUCCUCCAAACACGACAAGUUGAGUUUAUACCAAAAGGUUCUAUUUUGGUUUCAUCUGACCACAUGACAUUCUUCCAAUCCUCUGCUGUAUCAAUCAUGUGCUCUCUGGCAAACUUCAGACGGGGCUGGACAUGCACUGGCUUAAGCAGGGGGACACGUCUGGCACUGCAGGAUUUGAUUCCCUGCCGGCGUAGUGUGUUACUGAUGGUAACCUUUGUUACUUUGGUCAUUCACCAGGUCCCCCCGUGUGGUUCUGGGAUUUUUGCUCACCGUUCUCAGGAUAAUUUUGACCCCACGGGAUGAGAUCUUGCGUGGAGCCCCAGAUCGAGGGAGAUUAUCAGUGGUCUUCUUUUUGGUCUUGGCCAUAGUGGAGUUUGGAGUCUGACUGUUUGAGGCUGUGGACAGGUGUCUUUUAUACAGAUAACAAGUUCAAACAGGUUCCAGUAAUACAGGUAACGAGUGGAGGACAGAAGAGCUUCUUAAAGAAGAAGUUACAGGUCUGUGAGAGCCAGAGAUCUUCUUUGUUUGAAGUGACCAAAUACUUAUUUUCCACCAUAAUUUACGAAUAAAUUCUUAAAAAUUC